rnacentral:tRNA from 1 species
ACUAAGAUGGCUGAGUAUAUAAGCAGUAGACUGUAGAUCUACCAACGGAUUAAUUUUCUCUUAGUA